rnacentral:misc_RNA from 1 species
GAUGAAGAACGCAGCGAAAUGCGAUAAGUAAUGUGAAUUGCAGAAUUCAGUGAAUCAUCGAAUCUUUGAACGCACAUUGCGCCCCCUGGUAUUCCGGGGGGCAUGCCUGUCCGAGCGUCAUUACAACCCUCAAGCUCAGCUUGGUGUUGGGCCCCGCCGCCCCGGCGGCCCUAAAGUCAGUGGCGGUGCCGUCCGGCUCCGAGCGUAGUAAUUCUUCUCGCUCUGGAGGUCCGGUCGUGUGCUCGCCAGCAACCCCCAAUUUUUUUCAGGUUGACCUCGGAUCAGGUAGGGAUACCCGCUGAACUUAAGCAUAUCAAUAAGCGGAGGA